AUUGUGGGUCGUCUCUGGCCUUGUAGGUCGCAGAUUUAGAGGGUUAGGCACAAUGGAUCCGACUGCGGUGAUGGACUUUGUGGAUGUUUUGCACCUAUGGUCAGAAGGAAGCGGCAGGGCCUCAACCUCCUACAACGAGCCUUCUGGUUCCAUUGCAGCUGAGAGAAAAAGUAAGAAACGUGUUCGAAAGUAUGAUGACUUUCCUUGACUGUGGGUUUAUGAGCAUUUUUGACAAAUCUGAAGAUAAGCCCAAAUGCCUCAUCUGUUUGAGUGCUGUUCAGCGAAAGCAUGAAGCCAAAUAAGCUUAGACGACACUUGCAGACCGUUCACAAGGAUUGUCGGGAAACCACAAUCAUUUUUUCAGCUUCGGAAAGAGGAGCUUUAUUGGCAGCAAGUCUCUAAACAAGCUGUAAGAGCAUCUUUUGAGAUUUAAAGAGAUGACAUUUCCAGUAGAAAUAAACCGAUUGACAAGAUUUCACAUUGAGACUUCACUUUUACUGUAACAAAUUAGAAUCAACAUUCAUCAAACAUUAACAGGCAACUGAGGACGCCAAACUAUAAGAAAAUGGUAUACUGUCAGUAGGAUAACUCAAGCCUAUCCUGACUGGAAUUCUUCAACCAGCAUCAUCAGCCUUGUUGGGAAACAGAAUGGAAGAACGUCAUUAUCAAGCUGAAGGCCUACAUCCAGUGUCUUGAAUCCACAUCUGGUGGGGCAGUAGAGGAAUGCCACAGAUGUGCUGUAAUGUCAAUGAGUCUUAAGCUGAGAGGAAAUUCAGACUUUUCAGCCAGGAAACUAGACACCUGAGAUCAUGUCAAGAGGUGUCUGGCUGAUGAACUAGAAUAAAAGCAGAAACUGCUGGAAAUACUCUGCAGGUCAGGGAACAUCUGUGGAGAAACAGUUAACAUUAUCAAGUUGUUGAUCUUUCAUCAGAACUGGAAAAGCAUUAGAGAUGUAGGAGAGUUGAAGUACUUUGCAAAAAUAUUAUUUUAAUCAGCCCCCUCUUCACUCCUCCCCCCCCAACCCCCCAUGCAUUGUAAUCAGCUCCUCUUCCCACUUGCCCUCCCCCACAUGUGCACUAAUUAGACCCUUCACCCUGCAUGUACUGUAAUCAGCUGCUUCCCCCUUCCCACACACACACUGGUCAGCCAGCAGGGUGGCAGAGCAGCUCUGACAUCCUGAACCCCAGCCCAAGUAGGUGUUUGGUUGCAGCCCUACAGGUGCCAAUUUUUUUAAGUGGUUUAGAAGAAACAGUUCCUGAGACUGGGGUGAGCAGGGAAGGGCCAGAUGCUGCUUGAGCCCCAGAGCAGUUAGAGAACUGCUGGUUUAAAAACCCAGAGUACAGCUUCAAGGAGCACCCUGCUUUUUUUAGAGUGAGGCCACUGUCAUUAACUGACCAUAUAACCAUUUUAAAAACCCAAUUUGGGUUCACUUUGGAUCCUUCAAGGAAAGGAAUCCUUCCUGGUCUGGCCCAUUUGCGACUCCAGUCCUGCAUCAGCAUGACUGACUGUGAGUCGCCCUUUGAGGCAGCUGAGUGAACUGUUCAGUUUAUCCUGCCCUCCGACUAAUAAAUAACCAGUGAUACCAACACCCGAGGGAAUAUGAGGUGAACUCAAGAUCAAAAAUAAAAUCCCUGCAAUUGCUUGAACAAUUAGGUGCAGGAUAGAGGCAGACUAUGGAAUCGAUGAAAUGAAUAACCUAAAUCCUCUGAUUAUGAAGUGCAGCAUUUUCUUCAAGCUGAGUUGUAAAAUUUUUUUGGCUUGGAGCUCCAUUAUAAUGGACUAUAAUGCUGUUUAUGGUUGUGUAAUACAUUUACAAUGUUUCGCAAGCAUUUGAUUACACAAUUGUUCUGAAUAACUUACUUGUACAGCAGUAUUUAUGCUUUACACAUGCCAGCUCCCACCUUGCUUCAUAUCUCCCCAGGAAUAAAUGCUAUUGCUUUCACUCUCA